UCGAAAGCCUGUCCCAGUUCGGACUGGAGUCUGNAACCCGACUCCACGAAGUUGGAUUCGCUAGUAAUCGCGCAUCAGCCAUGGCGCGGUGAAUACGUUCCCGGGCCUUGUACACACCGCCCGUCAAGCCAUGGGAGCCGGGGGCGCCUGAAGUCCGGGACCGCGAGGACCGGCCUAGGGCGAAACUGGUAACUGGGGCUAAGUCGUAACAAGGUAUC
rnacentral:rRNA from 1 species